rnacentral:lncRNA from 1 species
GUUCCUCCAACGUAGACGAACACCGGUUAGGUCCAUCCGCUAUCGACUCGAUCCUCUCGGCUAUCGCUCAAGCCAAAGCGGAAGCCAAUCCCGGCUCCGCUCUUAUCACCACUUCUCAUGGCAAAUUCUUCUCCAACGGCUUCGACCUCGCCUGGGCCCAAGCCGCUGGCUCCCGAACCGGCGCCCGGGAACGCCUCCACUACAUGUUCAAAUCCUUCAGGCCGCUUGUAGCCGCCAUGAUGGAUCUACCUAUGCCUACUGUGGCCGCCGUGAACGGCCACGCAGCCGCCGCGGGGUUCAUUCUGGCUUUGAGCCAUGAUUACGUCGUCAUGAGGCGUGAUAAGGGCGUGCUGUACAUGAGCGAGGUGGAUAUCGGGCUCACCUUGCCGGAUUAUUGUGCUGCUCUGUUUAGGGAAAAGGUCGGAUCGGCUACGGCUCGGCGCGAUGUGUUGUUGAGGGCUAAGAAGAUCAAGGGAGAGGAGGCGUUGAGGAUGGGUCUCGUGGAGGCAGCAUACGAUAGCGAGGAACGAGUGGCCGAGGCUAGUAUGCGCCUGGGGAAGCAGUUGGCUGGUAGAAAGUGGGCUGGUGAGGUGUAUGCGGAAAUAAGGAAGAGUUUGUACCCGGACUUAUGUGGCGUGCUGGGAUUGGACAUCAAGGCUGUUUUUUCCAAUUCUAAACUUUGAAUUUGAUUAAACGCGAAAAUAACUACGAAGUUUAGAGUUGAAUAAUAAUUAUUCAAUCAUGCCCAAGAAUUUGGGAUACGAAAGAAUUUCAGAAUUCGGAGAUGCUUGUACAAUAAUAAAGAAAGAUUUAAAGAGAUAGAGUUAUAUUUUUUCUUUUUGAAGAAAAUAAGCUAACAUUUCCUUCAUUACAAGUGAAAAUUAGUACAUCUUCACAUUUAGUACAAAUAUAAAAUUAUACAAACAAUCUCGAUAGAUAUCUUUACAAGUACACAAUUGUUGAAUUAAUAUAUUUUUCACACUUAAGAACAAGUGAAAAAAUCAGCACAUUAAAGAUACUUCAGUGAAGUAGCUAUUCCGACGAAGGAGAUGUACCCAACAGAAAGCCAUUCACCAAAUAAAGUUCUUUCAUGGUACCCUGUCUUUAGAUUUGAUACUUCAACUAGUUCAGGAAUAGAUUUUCUGUCUUGAUCCACUUGUUAUAGCCAUGAAAAAGAUGUAAGAUACAGGAGAAACGGUGCCUGCAGCUCUCACAAGCUGAUUCAAUAUAUUUUCCGUUAGAUUUUAAUUGGUAGUAUUUCGGAUACAUCAAAACAACUACAGCCUUGAAGAUGUAUGUAACACGAAAGAUGUUAACAUAAUUUUUUAUAGAAAUUAUAAUAAAAUCUACUUUGUUUAAAUUAAAAAAUACAAAAUUAAUUAGAUAUAAAGGAAUAAUAUUUUUAUGAAUUGAUUGUUUUAUAUCUUUAAAAUAAUUAAUUGAUAAAAUUAUAUAUAUAUUAACAGAUAAAAUUAUAAAUAUAUAUGUAUAAAAUAAUUCUGUAAUAUGAGGAUGCACUAACAGAUUAAAAAAAUAUAAAGUUCAAUAACAGAUAAAUACACACAAUUGUCCAAUUUUCAAUAAUUUAUUUUUGAAAGAUUUUAAUAUAAGUUAUCUCUUUAUUUCUUUACUUCAAUUUUCAUACAUAUUCCAAGAACACUAUCAUAAGUACUUUAUAUUAAUGGGAUGUUUGAUAUUUAGAAGUUGUGACUUUUAAUCUACAUUGUUAUACAUUGUUAUAUAAGUAACCGUCAUGUUACAUAUAAUAUAACUUACCGCAACUCAAAAGUAGUUACUCAAUACCAAAAAUUAUAACAUUUAAAAUAAGUAGGAGGUCAUAGGUAACUAUUUUUAGAUUUAUUGUAAGUUACAUAUGAUAUAACUUUUAGCAAGAUCCUAUUACAUAUCAAUAAUAUUGACUCUUGAUAUAUAGCAUACUAUAUGCUGUACAUGCAAUUACUUUAAGAAAGAAGAAAUAUUGUUCUUUUGAAUUGAAAGCUUAUUGAUCUUGAUAUUUCUCCCAUAGUUUUUUUAUUCAACAAUUUGGAGGAUCUUUGUUGCAAUCAAAGCGUCUUUGUUGACCAAGAUGGUAUGCUCUCGCUUGCUCAGUGUCUCUUCUUCUUUGUGGUCUAUAUGCAACGAAAAUUUUCAUCUUAUUUUCUCCUUGUGGUGUUAAAAUUACAUUAACACCAUUGAAGAUAAAUUUCACAUAUGCCACUAGCUCAUUACGUACGUUGUUAAGAUAAAGUAAUUUUUGCCACUUAGCCUUUAGCAAAGUGGUGAAUCACUUUCCUCAAAGUUAAGCAUAACUAUAAGGGUAGUGGUUCGAGUCUCUAUGGACUCAACCUCCCACAAUUAAACUUAAUUGUGUGAAGUUUAUUUACAAGUCUUCCUCCCUUGCGAAAUACGAAUGGAGCAAAGAUAUCACUUCUCUGUGAGGGUUAUAUGUUUGAGCAUGUAUUUUAUAAAAUUUAAUUUAAUAAUGUAAGUCUCAAUUAUAUAUCUGAUUGUAAAUAUCAGUGUAACGAUCUAUUGAUAUAGCAGUUAUAAAUAUUUGUAUAAUACAAUAAUCUGAUGUGUAAUCAGUAUUUAAAAAAAAGAUAAAAUAAUUUUCAAUAUUUGCUGAGAGUGCAUAGAAAAAAUCUAAAAUCGGAGAAUGUGAAGUUGUGGUAUAUUUUUAUUAAUUUUUGUAAUUCAAUUAACUUAUGCCAAGGGCCUAUUAUUUUUCGUCCUUUUCCGAGGUGGUACUAGGCCUAGCUAAGACCAAGACUUCUUGUAACAUCCCGAAAGAUAUUUACCGACUAUGAUCUGAAUAAGGACUAAACACUAUAUUAUAAAAAAAAAUUUAUAAAAUAUAUUUAUUUCCUAAACUAUAAAACUUAAUUUUUUUUUAUUUGAUUUAUAAUAACAUAAAUGUCAAAUAAUCAUAUUUAAGAUUUUUUUAUUUACAAAAACUAAGAAGAUGUCACUUAUAUUUAGUUAUUUAAAAGAGAAAAAUGAACAUUUCAUUCAAAUAUUCAUAUUUGGACCCGUUUAGACUUUGAAAAUUUUAAAUUUAUUUAGAUUUCAGACAAAAAUAAUAAUGCUAUCUAACUGUGGCUAUUUCUGGUACUUUGAUUAUGCAAUAUUUCUUUUUGUACAAAGAGGAGAGUUGCAAACUUUGUUGCAAUGUUUGCAUUAGACAGCAUGGAGGUCCUGUUUGAUAUUGAGAUAUUACGACUUUUAAGUUGUAGUUACUAUUAAAAAAAAAGAAAAUAAAAUAAAAAAAAGUUAUAGUUAUGAAACAAAAGUUAAUAGUGUGUGGUAAAUAUAACUUUUAAAUAACAAUUUUUAAAAAAUUGUAAAGAUAUCAUAGUGUUUUAUCCUACGAAUGUAUAAUUAAAUCAACUUACCUUCUAAAACUUAGUUUCUAAACUAUAGCAAUAAGUAUUUACUAAACGUUAACACUUUAAGUAUUAUAACUUGGAAGAUGCAAUUCUCCAAUCACACUACCAAAUAAGGCAUUUAUUAAUAAAAUAUUAACAUUUGUAUCUUAUAAUUAGAGAAUAUGAUGCAAGGUUAGGAACAAACUUUGAUCUGCUGAGGUGAUAGUGUCUUCGACCAUUGAAAAUGAGUUGUGUUUGCCAAAUUCAAGUGUUGUCGUUACAGUAUAUAAAGAGUUGAGAUUGAGCAUUUUGGUCCUAUUUGGUAUUCAAGUACCAUAUCUUUUAAGUUACAGGUUACCACUUGCUGUAGAAAAAAAAUUAUAAUUAUAAAAUAAAAGUUAAUAGUAUGUAGUAAGUAAAAAUUUUUAAAUAACAAUUUUGACAAGAUUAAUAAAAAUAUAAUAGAUUUUUUAUCAUACAAGUAUAAAGUCAAACCAACUUAAUUUUCAAGAUAUAACAGCUAAUGUUUACUAAACAUGCACAUUAAAGUUGUAGCUCUGUUCAGCCUCAAUCACAAACAGGGCCUUUGGAUCAAGAACGGAGAAUGCAAGAAUCUAGUGAAGGGAACCUAUGUCUAUCUUCACAUCCCAAUACAAUUUCAAUCUAUUAUUAAAAUGUAAUCUUUUACAUACUAUAAUGAAAUGAAACUUAAGAUUGAGCCAAAUCUUAAUAAUAUCAUAAUAUUUCUCCAUUUUCUUUUGCAGGACUUCCCUAGUGAAUGAGCAAAAGAAUGGGUAUCUUCCCUAGUGAAUGAGCAAAAGAAUGGGUAUCCGGUGAAUGAAAUUUGCAUGGAAGAAGACUGAGAUUGGAAAUUCUCUUGGAAUUUCUGAAGCACUAUAACAAGAAAUUAAGAUUGACUUAUUACACUUGUAAUUGACUUAUCAAAAUUUUGAUUGUUCCGACUUGAUGAAUGGUUAAUUGGUAAAGAUUUUGCCUGAUUAUGUGCUUGAUCUUGAUUGUUUUUCACUGGAAAGAAACAAAAGUUAUUUUGGGCUCUAUUUGUCACAACGCAAGCAGUGGGUUUUGUUGGAUUGAAUAUUGCAAAGACAUCCCUUAAUUAUAAGAGCAGCACUGUAAUCAUGGGUUAAGACUUAUGUUGAGAAAGUUUGGGAAGAUUCACCUUCACAACACCCCUAAUAAGAAAAAAUAAAAACAAAACCCAAAGCGAAAAAAUCCCUACGAAAAUAAUCAUAUUCUUCAUAAUCUAUAUAUAUUUCAUGUUUCUAUCUUUUCAACUUCAAGUCUUCAAUGUUCAAAACUCUUAUACAUGUAUUGGAAAACACACCCUAACCCUAUCCCAGCCAACACACAAACAUAAAUACAACAAAAAUGAUAUGCAAUCCAUCAUUGAAUCCCACAUGAUGAACCUCAUUCUAGUGAGCUCUUGUUUUUAUUUAUUUUUGAGAAUUUUUUAAUUCUUUUUUUACCUACGUAGGGUUUCAUCUAAGGGGUUCAAUGACGAUUAUAAGAAUUACAAUAUAGAUUAUGAAAUAUUUAAGUUAAAAUUACUUAAUAUAUAACAAUAGUUGAUGGUGACAUAUUAUUUAAAAUAAAAAGUUUGCACCAAAAUUUUGAAAAUAUAACAUUUUAUGAACAAGCAAAAUUAAACAUGUUUCAUUUUUUUUUCUUAUAAUUUGAAAAUUUAUUUUAUUUUCAAUUGACUAUAAUUUUAGAAGUAUUUUUUAAAAGAAUUUUAAGAGUACAAUACGAACAAAAAGCAUAGAUCCUUGAUAAAAUCUAAAACAUAAUCAAAUGACAAAUUUUAUCAUGAUUUGUUUUUCCGCAUGUCAGUAAAUGUACUAUAGAUUUGGGAUUAUGGAUGUGCACAUUAAACUUAAACAAAUAAAUAUUAGAAAGCAAAAACAUGUGAGUCACGUGCUAAAUAAAUAAACAAGAAAGAUCAUAUUAAAUGAAAAAAGAAAUGAACUACUGAGAUUAGAUCAGGAAUGAUCUAAUGUUCCCUAGUCGAAAGUUCCUACAAAUAGAAAUAUUGAACUAUUUGAAAGGGAGGGACAAAGAUUCUCAUAAGAGAGUUAACAGAUUCUCUCUAGAGAGAGAAAAAUAUUCUCUAAACUGAAGCUUCUUGAACCUCGUAUUUUCUAAGGAACCAAAUGCUGACUUGAAUGUCAGAGUACCUUUUACAAGUACCAAAUCAUUGCUCGAAGCUUUGGAAGCUUGAAGAUGAAGGACAUAAUCAUCGUUUUCGGGUAUUAAAGGAAAUUUGCUCGUUUGCUAGCAAAGGUAGAAGCAACUUUGAGUUGGAAAUUUGCUCUUUCUCUAGCCUAAAUUACAAUUGGUAUUAUUGUAAUACGACAAUUAAAAAUUACUUUUACACACACACAAAUAUUAAAAGUCGACUUAUAUUUAUAUAUGAAAUUAGAUAGAUCAAAUAAAUUAUGAUAGUCUCAAUUUCUACUUUCAUAAAUAUUAAAACAAAAGUCUUUAUUUUGCCUACUAACCACAGGAAAAAAAAAAAACCUAACUUCCCUGAAUUUUAAAUUAGAAAAAGAAAUGUUGAGUCUGUUAGCAGGACUCCAAGCAUCCGCCUAAUACCAGGAGCCGAGUGGAAAAUUACUUUUAAAAUAUUUUCCCCAAAAAAAAAUAUUACUUGAAGAAGCCUAUCCGAGUAGACGGCUUCAACUUGACAUCUUACAAUAGGAGGUUGCUAUGUUACAGAUUUUGUAACAUACGCACCCAAUGCAUGCACCACACCUGUCCUGCAUAUGGAGAAAAAACAUACAACUAUUUUUAUUUGGUUGCUAGCUACCCAAUCAGAAGCUGGCUAAGUUGGAUCUGUAUGUUACAGAAUCUGUAACUUAGCCAGCUCCCUUACAAUAACUCGUAACAAAUAUCUGAUCGAAAAAUGUGCACUUUAGAGAAACACGGCGACGUUUUUGUCCUAACCUUAACCGGUUCCUCCGACGUUGACGAACACCGGUUCGGUCCAUCCGCAAUCGACUCGAUCCUCUCGGCUAUUGCCAAAGCCGAAGCCGAAGCAACUCCCGGCUCCGCUCUUAUUACCACUUCUCAUGGCAAAUUCUUCUCCAACGGCCUCGACCUCGCCUGGGCCCAAGCCGCCGGCUCACGAGCCGGCGCCCGGGAACGCCUCCUCUACAUGGUCGAAUCCUUCAGGCCGGUGGUAGCCGCCAUGAUGGAUCUACCUAUGCCUACCGUGGCCGCCGUCAACGGCCACGCAGCCGCCGCAGGGUUCACACUGGCUUUGAGCCAUGAUUACGUCAUCAUGAGGCGUGAUAAGGGCGUGCUAUACAUGAGCGAGGUGGAUAUCGGGGCCAGUCUGCCGGAUUAUUUU